rnacentral:rRNA from 1 species
CCUACGGGAGGCAGCAGUGAGGAAUAUUGGUCAAUGGGCGAGAGCCUGAACCAGCCAAGUCGCGUGAGGGAGUACUGCCCUAUGGGUUGUAAACCUCUUUUGUCGGGGAGCAAAAGCCGGACGUGUCCGGCUGUGAGAGUACCCGAAGAAAAAGCAUCCGCAAACUCCGUGCCAGCAGCCGCGGUAAUACGGAGGAUGCGAGCGUUAUCCGGAUUUAUUGGGUUUAAAGGGUGCGCAGGCGGAUUUUUAAGUCAGCGGUAAAAUCGUGGGGCUCAACCCCAUCCAGCCGUUGAAACUGGGGAUCUAGAGUGUGCGAGAGGUAGGCGGAAUGCGUGGUGUAGCGGUGAAAUGCAUAGAUAUCACGCAGAACCCCGAUUGCGAAGGCAGCAUACCGGUGCACAACUGACGCUCAGGCACGAAAGCGUGGGUAUCGAACAGGAUUAGAUACCCCGGUAGUC